AAAUUGAAGAGUUUGAUCAUGGCUCAGAUUGAACGCUGGCGGCAGGCCUAACACAUGCAAGUCGAACGGUAACAGGAAACAGCUUGCUGUUUCGCUGACGAGUGGCGGACGGGUGAGUAAUGUCUGGGAAACUGCCUGAUGGAGGGGGAUAACUACUGGAAACGGUGGCUAAUACCGCAUAACGUCGCAAGACCAAAGAGGGGGAC
rnacentral:rRNA from 1 species